rnacentral:rRNA from 1 species
UACGGAGGGUGCGAGCGUUGUCCGGAAUCAUUGGGCGUAAAGGGCGCGUAGGUGGCCCGGUCAGUUCGUGGUGAAAGCGCGGGGCUCAACCCUGCGUCGGCCAUGAAUACUGCCGCGGCUGGAGCACUGUAGAGGCAGGCGGAAUUCCGGGUGUAGCGGUGGAAUGCGUAGAGAUGUGGAGGAACACCAGUGGCGAAGGCGACUCUUUGGCCUGUAACUGACGCUGAGGCGCGAAAGCGUGGGGAGCAAAAGGG